UCCUCCCCACCCCCUUUUCCCCCUAUCGACAAACGUAGAAGUCAAAUCCCACUUACCAAGUAUGCUUAUGACUACGAAAAGAGAGUGCUUUUUGAGAAACCAUUAUUGACUUCGCAUUUUUGCGAAGUAAAUCAUGUUUGAAAACACCUGCCUUGUGUUUGUUUUUUGUUCGAUUUGCAAACAUACAUGGAAAAUUACUUUUUUGGGCAACAGACUUUACUUGACCAGAAUAGUACAUUUCCGAAAAUUUUUCAUUGCUGUGAAAGUAACUUUUCGCUUUUUGAAUUUACCACGAUGUCUCGAUGCAAAUCUUCUCUUCGAUACUUCAUUGCAACCCUCGUGUAUAAGCAUAUUGACUUUGUCGAAUUUUUCUUGCCGACCACGACAGUUCAACGGCAUCAAAUUUCAUAAAAAUAUACAGACCAUAAUAUCCUAUAACCAAAACUAAACGAGAACUCAUUAAACAUGUUCAAAAAAGGUAAAUUAUUGACGACGACAAUAUUUUCAUUUUGUCUUUUGACCGCAAUUUAUCUUUACCGUAAAGGAGCGAACACAUUGAACGCGGAUGAAGCUAACAUUGAACGAUACUCUGACAGACAUACGACGCAAAUACCAGACGAAUCUAUUGACACAUUGAUAAAUUCACCGACAAAAAUAUAUUCAGUGAUUGAGUUUGAAGAUGAAGAAGCAUCCUCCGACGAAGGACAGAACAACUUUUCGAGCACGGAGAGUGUGAGCACAAUGGAGAAAGAGAUAUGGAAAAGCGCGGGAGAUUUCAAAGAAAAUGGCAGCACUCCGGCCUGCAAGAUACCCAUCUUAGAUCCUUUUCAUCCCCACGUGUCCAGUCUGCAGAAUGACGUGGGCACAAACCUGAGGGAGAUAUGUCGCUCGAUGUAUUCUCACGCUCCUAUAUUUCGCGUGGAAAACAACAAACUUGUCUUGAAAGAUGAUUUUAAAAAAGAUUUUGCCUUAGGCGUUGACUUCAAAUCAAUCAAACUGCGAGGUAUCGAGAGAUUGAACGAUGACGACUUUAAAUAUUUGACAAAGAGCAACCCGUUUGGUGGGCUGUCAAAUCUGAAUAAAAGCAACGACAUUGGGCAUACGGACUUCUUCCGAGUCGAUUACACAAUCAACAAAAGGCGAGCUUCAGAUUUGUACGCCCGCGUUUCUCUCAAGUCCAACGUCAGAAAAAAACAAGACCGGUUGGCAAAGAAGUUUGAAGGCAAAGGACUAAACUCAAAUGUGCUUAUUAUUGGUAUCGACUCUACGUCAAGAGCAAACUUUGUGCGUAAACUUCCACGAGUGAAGUCCUUUUUAGAGACGAGAAUGCACACCUAUUUUAUGAAAGGAAUGUCGAUUGUAGGUGAUGCUACAACGCCUGUACUCACUGCUAUGCUUACAGGAAAGGAUGUUUCAAUGUUACCGGAAGGACGGGCAUCUCAUAAAGGAAAGCCCAUCGACAACUGGCCAUGGAUUAUGCAAAAAUACGAACGCCAAGGCUACAUGACACUAUACGGGGAAGAUGACCCGAGUGUGAGUGCGUUCAACUUAAGAUUAAGAGGAUUUAAACGCAGUCCGACACAUCACUACAUGCGGCCAUUUUGGCUAUCACUUGAGAGGGAGAACGAGCGAGAUGCACAGGGACGGUGUUCGAAAUCUGAAUCGAUGGUAAACCACACUCUCAAAUAUUUGAAGAGCUUUUUUGACGCCUAUCCUAAACCAACCAAAAAAUUUGCGUUCGCCUUUUUAUCCUAUUUGACGCAUGCGUAUCCUAACCACUUGAGCCUGGCCGAAGAAGAUCUUUUGUGGUUUCUCGGGACAUUUGUGGACAAAGGGUAUUUCAAUGAUACCAUCUUGAUCGUCAUGGGUGAUCAUGGAUCGAGAAACUGGGAAUAUCGCGAUACAAUGCAGGGAAAAUUGGAAGAACGCUUACCGUGGUUUUCUAUCUCAAUACCGGCCUAUAUACACCGAAAUUAUCCUAAACUCACGGAAAACCUGCGACAAAAUCAAGAUAUCAUAUCUUCAUUUUUUGAUGUACACGCAACAUUACGUCAUAUACUGACCUAUCCCAGACUGCCAAGUGGCGAAAGAACGCAAAGCCUGUUUGAGAGGUUGCGUCGUAACAGAACUUGCUAUGAUGCAGGAAUUGCUGAACAUUGGUGCCCCUGCCUGCAAUGGUCAUCGACGACAGUGCACUCUAAGCCCGUGCAACAUAUCGCGCGGUCAGCGGUUACCAUGAUAAAUCGUAAACUUACCGAAAACUCAAAGCUAAAUAGCUCUUGUCAUCAGCUUACUUUACAGAGUGUCGAGGAUGCUUUAAUACUGAGAGCAAAUCCUAAAGUUCAAACAUUUGAGUCUACGGACCAAGAUGGUGAUGACGAAGUGAGUUACGGCGAAGCGACGAAAGAUUUGCUGCGGUAUCAAAUUAUUUUUACAACCUUGCCCAAUCAUGCAAAAUACGAGGUGACGGCUCACUUCAUUCCCGCAAGAAAUCAUGCAAAAAUUAAUCCAGAAAUCAGCAGACUUAAUCGUUAUGAUAAUCAACCAUCUUGUAUUGCAAAAUUAUACCCUUACGCCAGGAUGUUUUGCUUAUGUAAGAACAACGUCAAAGAAAAAUGACAGAGUUGGUCUCAAGUCGACGGGUGUAUAAGAACUAGCUAGGUUCAAUACAAAAUUUUGAUCUAGUGUCUAUAAGGACAGGUUGUAGAACUAUAAGGGAUCACGUUAUUCAUUGGCCUAAUGAUGAUGAGUAAGUUCAACAUCUGUACCGCAGAGCGUACCAGCUUUUUAGUUAUACACCUCGUGAUCUCGUAAUGCACUUUGCUCGACAUGGAUGGCGGUACAUUUUAAAAUUUAGUUUCCAAUAAUUUUUUUAUAUUCAUGCUUUUGAACGGUUGAAAUUACAUCAAAUGGGUUGAAAUUUACUUUAUUCAAAAACUUUACGUGUUCGCAGAAACGGCUGGAUUAUCGUUGCCAGAGAAAUUCAAGGUAACAACUUUCGAGAAAGGAACGUGAUUGAUGUACCAACUUGCAGAUAACCCAGUUUACGCGAAUUUGGAAAUGGCGAGAACGCUUUCGGGUUGGCAAGAUUUAGGAUGUGUGGACUUCGUAGCAAAGCUUCCUCUAGUGGGACCGAUCGAAGGCGGUCAUUUAUAGAUUAGUUUCUAUUCGACUACGUUUCGUGAAAAACAAUGAAUUUCUAGUUUCAGAAAGUUGAAUAAUUUCUAAGUGUACCUUUACGGUUGAGUUGGAUUUCUUGUAUCGUUGGGGUCGUGUGGUAGUCGUGCGGAUCGUGUCUCAGCGGAACCGUGCAAUACCAACUGAGCAUUUUCUCCUGACUUAUUUGUGAUACCGAUACGCGAAAUAGAUCUCAGAUCCACUCCCAAAACAAUAUCUUGGCUACAGCCGAGCACACUAUCACAUUAAGAUUUACAAGAAGCUGAAACUCGAAGCAAAAAGAUGAAAUCGCACGCUUGACGGAGGGUGAAACAUACGCCAUGAUUUUAAAGUUGGCCUAAUCACCGUCUCCAGGGCGGGCAAGCAAUUUGAAACUUUAUGAUCGGUAACCUUCCUUAACCUUUCUCAAAAACAACUUGUUUUUUUGGCACACGUACAGUACAAAAACACAUGUAAAACAUUUACGCAUGUGGUGUUAAACAUGGACAUACAUUGAAGAUUGUAAUCCUCUUUCCUGCUGCUUUCAAUGGUUUUUAAAUAAACACCCUUUACCCUG